rnacentral:rRNA from 1 species
AUCAAAGAAGGUAAUAAUCCUGUAGUCGAAAAUGUUGUCUCUCUUGAGUGGAUCCUGAGUACGACGGAGCACGUGAAAUUCCGUCGGAAUCUGGGAGGACCAUCUCCUAAGGCUAAAUACUCUCUAGUGACCGAUAGUGAACCAGUACCGUGAGGGAAAGGUGAAAAGCACCCCGGAAGGGGAGUGAAAUAGAACCUGAAACCGUGUGCUUACAAGUAGUCAGAGCCCGUUAAUGGGUGAUGGCGUGCCUUUUGUAGAAUGAACCGGCGAGUUACGAUUUGAUGCAAGGUUAAGCAGUAAAUGUGGAGCCGUAGCGAAAGCGAGUCUGAAUAGGGCGUUUAGUAUUUGGUCGUAGACCCGAAACCAGGUGAUCUACCCUUGGUCAGGUUGAAGUUCAGGUAACACUGAAUGGAGGACCGAACCGACUUACGUUGAAAAGUGAGCGGAUGAACUGAGGGUAGCGGAGAAAUUCCAAUCGAACCUGGAGAUAGCUGGUUCUCUCCGAAAUAGCUUUAGGGCUAGCCUCAAGUGAUGAUUAUUGGAGGUAGAGCACUGUUUGGACGAGGGGCCCCUCUCGGGUUACCGAAUUCAGACAAACUCCGAAUGCCAAUUAAUUUAACUUGGGAGUCAGAACAUGGGUGAUAAGGUCCAUGUUCGAAAGGGAAACAGCCCAGACCACCAGCUAAGGUCCCAAAAUAUAUGUUAAGUGGAAAAGGAUGUGGCGUUGCCCAGACAACUAGGAUGUUGGCUUAGAAGCAGCCAUCAUUUAAAGAGUGCGUAAUAGCUCACUAGUCGAGUGACACUGCGCCGAAAAUGUACCGGGGCUAAACAUAUUACCGAAGCUGUGGAUUGUCCUUUGGACAAUGGUAGGAGAGCGUUCUAAGGGCGUUGAAGCAUGAUCGUAAGGACAUGUGGAGCGCUUAGAAGUGAGAAUGCCGGUGUGAGUAGCGAAAGA